GGAAGAAAAGGAGAGCUGGACAGCCCUGCCCCAGUGUGGAGUUAGGGAGCUGUGUGCAUCAUGGACUGGACUCCUCUUCUCUUUGUGUUCCUCUCUCACUGCACAGGUUCCCUCUCUCAACUUGUACUGACUCAACCUCCUUCCCUCUCCACAUCUCCUGGAUCCACCGCCAGACUCACCUGCACUCUGAACAGUGGCAACAGUAUUAGUAACUAUGUGAUUCGCUGGUACCAGCAGGUGCCUGGGAGUCCUCCAAAGUAUCUCCUAUCCUACAAAUCAGACUCAGAUAAGCACCAGGGCUCUGGGGUUCCCAGCCGCUUCUCUGGAUCCAAAGACACCUCAGCCAAUGCAGGGCUUCUGCUCAUCGCUGGACUCCAGCCAGAGGAUGAGGCUGACUAUUACUGCAGCACAUGGCAUAGCAGCAGUAGUAGUUACACAGUGCUCUAG